UACGUAGGGGGCAAGCGUUGUCCGGAUUUAUUGGGCGUAAAGAGCGUGUAGGCGGCCAGGUAGGUCUGGUGUGAAAACUCGAGGCUCAACCUCGAGAUGUCAUCGGAAACCAUCUGGCUAGAGUCCGGAAGAGGAGAGUGGAAUUCCUGGUGUAGCGGUGAAAUGCGCAGAUAUCAGGAAGAACACCUAUGGCGAAGGCAGCUCUCUGGGACGGUACUGACGCUGAGACGCGAAAGCGUGGGGAGCGAACAGG
rnacentral:rRNA from 1 species